rnacentral:rRNA from 1 species
AGACCUCAAAUCAGUCAGGACUACCCGCUGAACUUAAGCAUAUCAAUAAGCGGAGGAAAAGAAACUAACAAGGAUUCCCCUAGUAACGGCGAGUGAAGUGGGAAAAGCUCAACUUUGAAAUCUGGUACUUUCAGUAUCCGAAUUGUAGUCUCAAGAAGUGUUUUCUGUGCCGGUCCAUGUAUGAGUCUGUUGGAACACAGCGUCAUAGAGGGUGACAACCCCGUUCAUGACAUGGAUCCCGGUGCUUUGUGAUACACUCUCGAAGAGUCGAGUUGUUUGGGAAUGCAGCUCAAAUUGGGUGGUAAAUUCCAUCUAAAGCUAAAUAUUGGCGAGAGACCGAUAGCAAACAAGUACCGUGAGGGAAAGAUGAAAAGCACUUUGGAAAGAGAGUUAACAGUACGUGAAAUUGUUGAAAGGGAAACGAUUGAAGUCAGACGUGCGUGAUGCGGUUCAGCUUUAGUUCGCUAGAGUGUACUCCGUAUCUUUGCAGGCCAACAUCGGUUUUGUUAGUCGGAUAAAGGUUUGAGAAAUGUGGCACCUUCGGGUGUGUUAUAGUCUCAGACUGAAUACGAUUGAUGGGACCGAGGAACGCAGCGCGCCGCAAGGCAAAGGUUCCGACCUUCGCG